GGGGCUGACUUGGAUUUCGACAGAUUUCUUGUCGCACAGAUAGCAUGCCAAGUGCUACUUGUAAAACAGCAACAAAAAUAACUGUAAACAACACAGAUUACGCUCCAGCUUACGCUAAAGUUGCGUGAGUUAAUCUCCUUUUGGAGCUGGACUGAUUAGAAUUUCUAGCGUUUUAAUCACUCCAUAACCUUAAGCUAGACGCUUUUAAAAGGUGGUUCGCCUUUUAAACUAAGAAACAAGAACUCUUGAAACUACCUCAAGGUUUUAGAAAGUUGGACCAGAGCUAGUUUUAAGGCUAAAAAGCUAACCAAUUUUCUAAGCAUUGUAGAAGUUUGUGUUUAGGACAAGAUUUUUGGACUGGGGUUCGAUUCCCCACAGCUCCACCA
rnacentral:tmRNA from 1 species